GCAGCACAGAGAAGCUUGCUUCUUGGGUGGCGAGUGGCGAACGGGUGAGUAACAUAUCGGAACGUACCGAGUAAUGGGGGAUAACUAAUCGAAAGAUUAGCUAAUACCGCAUAUUCUCUGAGGAGGAAAGCAGGGGACCUUCGGGCCUUGCGUUAUUCGAGCGGCCGAUAUCUGAUUAGCUAGUUGGUGGGGUAAAGGCCUACCAAGGCGACGAUCAGUAGCGGGUCUGAGAGGAUGAUCCGCCACACUGGGACUGAGACACGGCCCAGACUCCUACGGGAGGCAGCAGUGGGGAAUUUUGGACAAUGGGCGCAAGCCUGAUCCAGCCAUGCCGCGUGUCUGAAGAAGGCCUUCGGGUUGUAAAGGACUUUUGUCAGGGAAGAAAAGGCUGUUGCUAAUAUCGACAGUUGAUGACGGUACCUGAAGAAUAAGCACCGGCUAACUACGUGCCAGCAGCCGCGGUAAUACGUAGGGUGCGAGCGUUAAUCGGAAUUACUGGGCGUAAAGCGAGCGCAGACGGUUACUUAAGCAGGAUGUGAAAUCCCCGGGCUCAACCUGGGAACUGCGUUCUGAACUGGGUGACUAGAGUGUGUCAGAGGGAGGUAGAAUUCCACGUGUAGCAGUGAAAUGCGUAGAGAUGUGGAGGAAUACCGAUGGCGAAGGCAGCCUCCUGGGAUAACACUGACGUUCAUGCUCGAAAGCGUGGGUAGCAAACAGGAUUAGAUACCCUGAUAGUCCACGCCCUAAACGAUGUCAAUUAGCUGUUGGGCAACUUGAUUGCUUAGUA
rnacentral:rRNA from 1 species